GACGAACGCUGGCGGCGCGCCUAACACAUGCAAGUCGAACGAGCGAUGGAGAGCUUGCUUUCCAGAGCGAGUGGCGAACGGGUGAGUAACGCGUGAGGAACCUGCCUUGUACUGGGGGACAACAGUUGGAAACGACUGCUAAUACCGCAUAAGCGCACAGCUUCGCAUGAAGCAGUGUGAAAAACUCCGGUGGUAUAAGAUGGACCCGCGUCUGAUUAGCUUGUUGGUGAGGUAACGGCCCACCAAGGCGACGAUCAGUAGCCGGCCUGAGAGGGUGAACGGCCACAUUGGGACUGAGACACGGCCCAAACUCCUACGGGAGGCAGCAGUGGGGAAUAUUGCACAAUGGGGGAAACCCUGAUGCAGCGACGCCGCGUGAGUGAUGAAGUAUUUCGGUAUGUAAAACUCUAUCAGCAGGGAAGAUAAUGACGGUACCUGACUAAGAAGCACCGGCUAAAAUACGUG
rnacentral:rRNA from 1 species